GACGAACGCUGGCGGCAUGCCUAAUACAUGCAAGUCGAGCGAACAGAUGAAGUGCUUGCACUUCUGACGUUAGCGGCGAACGGGUGAGUAACACGUAAGGAAUCUACCUAUAAGCGGGGGAUAACAUUCGGAAACGGGUGCUAAUACCGCAUAAUAUCUUCUUCCGCAUGGAAGGAGAUUGAAAGAUGGCUCUGCUGUCACUUAUAGAUGACCUUGCGGUGCAUUAGUUAGUUGGUGGGGUAACGGCCUACCAAGACGAUGAUGCAUAGCCGACCUGAGAGGGUGAUCGGCCACAUUGGGACUGAGACACGGCCCAAACUCCUACGGGAGGCAGCAGUAGGGAAUCUUCCGCAAUGGGCGAAAGCCUGACGGAGCAAUGCCGCGUGAGUGAAGAAGGCCUUCGGGUCGUAAAACUCUGUUAUAAGAGAAGAACAAAUUGUAGAGUAACUGCUACAGUCUUGACGGUAUCUUAUCAGAAAGCCACGGCUAACUACGUGCCAGCAGCCGCCGUAA
rnacentral:rRNA from 1 species